UACGUAGGGGGCAAGCGUUGUCCGGAUUUAUUGGGCGUAAAGAGCGUGUAGGCGGUUUUACAGGUCCGCUGUGAAAACUCGAGGCUCAACCUCGAGCUGUCGGUGGAAACCGUAGGGCUAGAGUCCGGAAGAGGAGAGUGGAAUUCCUGGUGUAGCGGUGAAAUGCGCAGAUAUCAGGAAGAACACCCGGUGGCGAAGGCGG
rnacentral:rRNA from 1 species